rnacentral:tRNA from 1 species
GCCCCAGUAGUUCAGCGGAUAGAACGCGGGCCUUCUAAGCCCGAUGUCGGGGGUUCGAAUCCCUCCUGGGGCA